GACGUGGGUGGCAAACGUUGUUCGGAAUCACUGGGCUUAAAGCGCACGUAGGUGGUUUGGUAAGUUCGGUGUGAAAGCCCCCGGCUCAACCGGGGAACUGCAUUGGAUACUGCCGAACUAGAGGGUUGGAGGGGAGACUGGAACUCCUGGUGGAGCGGUGAAAUGCGUAGAUAUCAGGAGGAACACAGGUGGCGAAGGCGAGUCUCUGGCCAAUCUCUGACACUGAGGUGCGAAAGCUAGGGGAGCAAACAGG
rnacentral:rRNA from 1 species